UAGUGAAGGUCCCAGCAGAGAGGGGGAGAUCUCUAUAAUUGUAGCCUCUCUAACACAUAUACAAAUUCCUUCGCAGAGUUGUAUGCCGAAUCGUAGGAUGCCCAAAAAGCUUUUGUUUUGGACCAUUCUGAACCCUCGGCUACAUUCAA